GCGAACGGGUGAGUAACACGUGGGUGACCUGCCCUCCACUCCGGGAUAAGCCUGGGAAACCGGGUCUAAUACCGGAUAGGACCUCUGGGUGCAUGCCUGGUGGUGGAAAGUUUUUUCGGUGGGGGAUGGGCCCGCGGUCUAUCAGCUUGUUGGUGGGGUGAUGGCCUACCAAGGCGACGACGGAUAGCCGGCCUGAGAGGGUGAUCGGCCACACUGGGACUGAGACACGGCCCAGACUCCUACGGGAGGCAGCAGUGGGGAAUCUUGCGCAAUGGGCGGAAGCCUGACGCAGCAACGCCGCGUGAGGGAUGACGGCCUUCGGGUUGUAAACCUCUUUCGCGAUCGACGAAGGUCCGGUUUUUGCCGGGCUGACGGUAGGUCGAGAAGAAGCACCGGCCAACUACGUGCCAGCAGCCGCGGUAAUACGUAGGGUGCGAGCGUUGUCCGGAAUUAUUGGGCGUAAAGAGCUCGUAGGCGGUGUGUCGCGUCGGCCGUGAAAACCUGGGGCUCAACUCUGGGCGUGCGGUCGAUACGGGCAUCACUUGAGUUCGGCAGGGGAGACUGGAAUUCCUGGUGUAGCGGUGAAAUGCGCAGAUAUCAGGAGGAACACCGGUGGCGAAGGCGGGUCUCUGGGCCGAUAC
rnacentral:rRNA from 2 species